ACCGGAAUAAAUUACAGUACCGUAAUCGCGUGUUAGAGCUAUCGUUAAGAUGAUACCCGAGUUCAUUCCACCGACUGUUACCUUGACGAAGGAGACGUCGUUAGACUUCCCUGAUUGAGACUCGCCGACUGCUUGGGUAUAUGACCCCAUCUCAAGCAGGGUCACUUAUACGGGGAGGGUAGUGAGGACUAGUAGGAAAGGUGGGACAGUAUUUUUUGUGGAACUCACUCGCGAGAAGAUUGAUUAUCCGGUACCUUCCGGAUUAGUGCUUGGGAUGAGUGGAGCUUGGGAAGAUGCGAAGGAUUCCUCAGUUAGAGUGGAGGCAGAGGCCGUUGUGGGAGUUGAGGAUACAGUGGUUGGACCAGGGCCAGGAUAAGGGUCGAUGCCCAUGGAGCGAGAGAUUGUAGGGCCAUCUAGGCGGGCCGAGUCAGAGCUUCCUCUUCCAGUGAAUGAUCCUUUAUCGACUGUCACUAAAGUAGCAGACUGUUAUGAGGUCCCGGCGCCGCCGAAGCCCCCUAUCUCGUGGGUGGAUCUGACUUCUGAAGAGAGCGAUCCAUCUAUGUAUGUUGAUGAGGAUGAGGUUACCUCGAAGAUGGAUGAUGCGUCAGACGGAACUUGUGGACCGUGUGGAGGUCACCCAUGUUAUUGUAGUUGCUAGAGUAUGAUCAGAUUAGUUUUGUUGUAUAGGGACUUGAUAUCCUUCUUUUGGUGGUUGUUCUUAGUUCAUUUUGGGAUGAUUGUAACUAUACUUAUACGGUCAGAUGAUUUCUGUCUUGGUGGGUCCAUGUUCCAUUUUUUUUUGACGUGACCAUGGGGAUUAGUAUUUCUUGGAGCAAUACUUGUACAUGUGUCUGACGAGAAUACCCCAGGGGUAUGAGCGAUGCUUGAUAGGUCUCAUAGCCCCUGCGUAUUUUAUAUUUGGAUAUUUUAGUUUAUCGCCUCACAACUAUUUCAGUUUGUUAUAAUUAUGAUGUAAUUAAUUAUGACAAUUAUCGUUUGUGUUA